GACGAACGCUGGCGGCGUGCUUAACACAUGCAAGUCGAACGGAAAGGCCCUGCUUUUGUGGGGUGCUCGAGUGGCGAACGGGUGAGUAACACGUGAGUAACCUGCCCUUGACUUUGGGAUAACUUCAGGAAACUGGGGCUAAUACCGGAUAGGAGCUCCUGCUGCAUGGUGGGGGUUGGAAAGUUUCGGCGGUUGGGGAUGGACUCGCGGCUUAUCAGCUUGUUGGUGGGGUAGUGGCUUACCAAGGCUUUGACGGGUAGCCGGCCUGAGAGGGUGACCGGCCACAUUGGGACUGAGAUACGGCCCAGACUCCUACGGGAGGCAACAGUGGGAAAUAUUGCACAAUGGGCGGAAGCCUGAUGCAGCAACGCCGCGUGCGGGAUGACGGCCUUCGGGUUGUAAACCGCUUUCGCCUGUGACGAAGCGUGAGUGACGGUAAUGGGUAAAGAAGCACCGGCUAACUACGUG
rnacentral:rRNA from 1 species